rnacentral:hammerhead_ribozyme from 1 species
AUUCAGCUGAUGAGUCCCAAAUAGGACGAAACGCGCGUCCCGGAU